GACGAACGCUGGCGGCGUGCUUAACACAUGCAAGUCGAACGGAAAGGCCCUGCUUUUGUGGGGUGCUCGAGUGGCGAACGGGUGAGUAACACGUGAGUAACCUGCCCUUGACUUUGGGAUAACUUCAGGAAACUGGGGCUAAUACCGGAUAGGAGCUCCUGCUGCAUGGUGGGGGUUGGAAAGUUUCGGCGGUUGGGGAUGGACUCGCGGCUUAUCAGCUUGUUGGUGGGGUAGUGGCUUACCAAGGCUUUGACGGGUAGCCGGCCUGAGAGGGUGACCGGCCACAUGGGGACUGAGAUACGGCCCAGACUCCUACGGGAGGCAGCAGUGGGGAAUAUUGCACAAUGGGCGGAAGCCAGAUGCAGCAACGCCGCGUGCGGGAUGACGGCCUUCGGGUUGUAAACCGCUUUCGCCUGUGACGAAGCGUGGGUGACGGUAAUGGGUAAAGAAGCACCGGCUAACUACGU
rnacentral:rRNA from 1 species